UACAGAGGGUGCGAGCGUUUGUCCGGAAUCACUGGGCGUAAAGGGCGCGUAGGUGGCGACCCAAGUCAGUGGUGAAAGCUCGACGCUCAACGUCGAGUCGGCCACUGAGACUGGGUGGCUGGAGCACUGUAGAGGCAGAUGGAAUUCCGGGUGUAGCGGUGGAAUGCGUAGAGAUCCGGAAGAACACCGGUGGCGAAGGCGGUCUGCUGGGCAGUGGCUGGACACUGAGGCGCGACAGCGUGGGGAGCAAACAGG
rnacentral:rRNA from 1 species